rnacentral:lncRNA from 1 species
GCUCAGAGGGUUAACGAUCCGGUUGCCAUGAGCUGUGGUGUAGGUCUCAGAUGCAGCUUGGAUCUGGAGUUUCUGUGGCUGUGGUGGAGGCCAGCAGCUGCAGCUCCAAUUUGACCCCUAGCCUGGGAACUUCCAUAUGCUGUGGGCACGGCCCUAAAAAUACCAAAAAAAAAAAAUUUCUCUAUGUUAUAGACUAUUGAUGGCAUUCUUCAAGGCUUUCUAAUGCCAUGAUGGAAUUGUUCUUAUAUUUACAUUUCUCUCACACAUUCAAUGGGAUGUGGAGAAGGAAGACAGGUAAAUAUAAGUUAUCAGUUAGAUACCUUAAAGAUGAAUUUCCCUAAGUGUUUAGUUUAGUAGGUGGUUGAUGAAUAUGUAAAGCUCGAGAGAUUUUGACCAUCCUUUCCUCAACACUGAUCAACUUUCAGUGACCACAGGAUUCUUCAAUAAGCCUAAGAUCAUUUUUUGUCACCCUAUAAUUCUGGAUGACAGAAAGACAGGAGAGGAAGCCAAGGGGUGGGGGGCAAGUAUGAGUCAGAGUCCGAUGUAUGUUAUUUAAGAUUCUGUCCCUCUGUCAUCCUCUUCCUUUAGCAAGGAUCAGAGAUAAGGUUAUAUGUCAUUUACUAUACAUCUGGCUUCAAAUAAAAGAAAAAAUCAAGUUUAACUAGUUCAAACCAAAAGGAAAUUAAUCGAGUCACAUAAUGCAGAGGUAGGGGAGAUUGAUCCACUGGUUUACUAAUGUCAUCAGAGACUCAGUUUCUUUCUACUCUGCUAUCCAUAGAUUUCAUCCUAUUGCUAUUCCUUUGGAGUUAUGGGACAGAUUUUUCUCUUGCAUUCAGAAGGAGGGAGAGCAUCACUGGUGGAAAUUCUGUCAAAAGAUAAAAACAAAAAUUCUCCUGAAAUCCCUUAGCCAAUUUUUCAUUCCUCAUUCAUUCCCAUUCCUGAACUAAUUAAGGGUAAACAGCAAUGGAUUACCUUGAACCAAUCAAAUCUGUCUCAGGUGCUAAAAAGGGUCAGGUCCACCCAAUGCAUAUGUGCUCAAGGUGGAAGGAGUAAACUCGUAAAAUCUAGGGUUUGGUUAGAUAGGAGUAAGGGGAAAAUGCAUGCUGAGUAUUAAUGUUUGAACAGAUAUUUCUAGAUGGUGGCAGUUAGAAACAAUGAGAAAAGGGCAAUAUGAUUUCAUGUUUCAUAGGUUGAAAGAAGGCAGGUUGUGCAUGUUACUUCACCACUCUGUGCCUCAGUUUCCUCAUUAGAAAGAUAGGAUAAAAUAAUAUCGACCCCAUAGACUUGGGUGACAGUUCAAUCAUUCCUCAAAUAUUUUUGAGUAUUUACUAGGCAUUGGGCAAUAUUCUAGCAGUAACUACAGAGGUGAACAAUCCAGAUUAAAUUCCUACAUGAGAAAGCUUGCUGUUUAGUUAGUGUGUGUGUAUGUGUACAGUGGGGGAGGAAGAUAAAC